GACGAACGCUGGCGGCGUGCUUAACACAUGCAAGUCGAACGGAAAGGCCCUGCUUUUGUGGGGUGCUCGAGUGGCGAACGGGUGAGUAACACGUGAGUAACCUGCCCUUGACUUUGGGAUAACUUCAGGAAACUGGGGCUAAUACCGGAUAGGAGCUCCUGCUGCAUGGUGGGGGUUGGAAAGUUUCGGCGGUUGGGGAUGGACUCGCGGCUUAUCAGCUUGUUGGUGGGGUAGUGGCUUACCAAGGCUUUGACGGGUAGCCGGCCUGAGAGGGUGACCGGCCACGUUGGGACUGAGAUACGGCCCAGACUCCUACGGGAGGCAGCAGUGGGGAAUAUUGCACAAUGGGCGGAAGCCUGAUGCAGCAACGCCGCGUGCGGGAUGACGGCCUUCGGGUUGUAAACCGCUUUCGCCUGUGGCGAAGCGUGAGUGACGGUAAUGGGUAAAGAAGCACCGGCUAACUACGUG
rnacentral:rRNA from 1 species